rnacentral:rRNA from 1 species
AGUCGAGCGGUAACAGGGGUAGCUUGCUACCCGCUGACGAGCGGCGGACGGGUGAGUAACGCGUGAGAAUCUGCCCAUCAGUGGGGGAUAACCCGGGGAAACUCGGGCUAAUACCGCAUACGUCCUACGGGACAAAGCAGGGGACCUUUUGGCCUUGCGCUGAUGGAUGAGCUCGCGUCGGAUUAGCUUGUUGGUGAGGUAAAGGCUCACCAAGGCGACGAUCCGUAGCUGGUCUGAGAGGAUGAUCAGCCACACCGGGACUGAGACACGGCCCGGACUCCUACGGGAGGCAGCAGUGGGGAAUCUUGGACAAUGGGGGCAACCCUGAUCCAGCCAUGCCGCGUGUGUGAAGAAGGCCUUCGGGUUGUAAAGCACUUUCAGUAGGGAGGAAGGCUUUCGGUUAAUACCCGAGAGUACUUGACGUUACCUACAGAAGAAGCACCGGCUAAUUUCGUGCCAGCAGCCGCGGUAAUACGAAAGGUGCAAGCGUUAAUCGGAAUUACUGGGCGUAAAGCGCGCGUAGGCGGUGUGUUAAGUCGGAUGUGAAAGCCCAGGGCUCAACCUUGGAAUUGCAUCCGAUACUGGCACGCUAGAGUGCAGUAGAGGGAGGUGGAAUUUCCGGUGUAGCGGUGAAAUGCGUAGAGAUCGGAAGGAACACCAGUGGCGAAGGCGGCCUCCUGGACUGACACUGACGCUGAGGUGCGAAAGCGUGGGGAGCAAACAGGAUUAGAUACCCUGGUAGUCCACGCCGUAAACGAUGUCUACUAGCCGUCGGGAUCCUUAGUGAUCUUGGUGGCGCAGCUAACGCGAUAAGUAGACCGCCUGGGGAGUACGGCCGCAAGGUUAAAACUCAAAUGAAUUGACGGGGGCCCGCACAAGCGGUGGAGCAUGGGGUUUAAUUCGAUGCAACGCGAAGAACCUUACCAGGUCUUGACAUCCUCGGAAUUUGGCAGAGAUGCCUUAGUGCCUUCGGGAGCCGAGUGACAGGUGCUGCUUGGCCGUCUUCAGCUCG